AAUAGAUACCCAGGUAGUCCACGCCGUAAACGAUGAGUGCUAAGUGUUAGAGGAUUUCCGCCCUUUAGUGCUGCAGCUAACGCAUUAAGCACUCCGCCUGGGGGAGUACGGCCGCAAGGCUGAAACUCAAAGGAAUUGACGGGGGCCCGCACAAGCGGUGGAGCAUGUGGUUUAAUUCGAAGCAACGCGAAGAACCUUACCAGGUCUUGACAUCCUCUGACAACCCUAGAGAUAGGGCUUUCUCCUUCGGGGGACAGAGUGACAGGUGGUGCAUGGUUGUCGUCAGCUCGUGUCGUGAGAUGUUGGGUUAAGUCCCGCAACGAGCGCAACCCUUGAUCUUAGUUGCCAGCAUUCAGUUGGGCACUCUAAGGUGACUGCCGGUGACAAACCGGAGGAAGGUGGGGAUGACGUCAAAUCAUCAUGCCCCUUAUGACCUGGGCUACACACGUGCUACAAUGGAUGGUACAAAGGGCUGCAAACCUGCGAAGGUAAGCGAAUCCCAUAAAGCCAUUCUCAGUUCGGAUU
rnacentral:rRNA from 1 species